rnacentral:rRNA from 1 species
CCCUUAGACGUUCUGGGCCGCACGCGCGCUACACUGACCAGUGCAACAAGCAUCCGUCCUUGGCCGACAGGCCCGGGCAAUCUUUGAACGCUGGUCGUGAUGGGGAUAGACUUUUGCAAUUUUUGGUCUUCAACGAGGAAUUCCUAGUAAACGCAAGUCAUCAACUUGCAUUGAUUACGUCCCUGCCCUUUGUACACACCGCCCGUCGCACCUACCGAUUGAAUGGUCCGGUGAAGCCUCCGGAUUGGCGCGCACCUCGGUGCCGCCGAGGAGUUGGCUAAACCUUACCAUUUAGAGGAAGGUGAAGUCGUAACA